GCGCAAGGGGAGGAGCGGGAGGAGGCGGAGGAUGUUCCCGGCGGCAGCGGCGGCCGGGGCAGCGCGGGCAAGAGGCGCGGCGCGUGGAGCCCUCGGCUGCCCGGUGGAGCGCGGUGGCGGGAGAGCGGCGAGUUGCAAGCUUUGCGCGGUCCCGGCGUCUCCCAGCGCGAGUCCUGGGCUUUGUCUCCCGCGCUGCCUUCGUGGUGACGGUCGGGGGGUUCCGAACCGGCGUAGGGCGCGGACCGCGCGCCGAGGAGCCCGGGCCCGGACACGACGCUCCGAAGGGAAGGGGCGGACAAAAAAAGACCAAAUGGCAAAGCAACCUUCCGAUGUAAGUUCUGAGUGUGACAGAGAAGGUGGACAGUUGCAGCCUGCGGAAAGGCCUCCUCAGCUCAGGCCUGGGGCCCCCACCUCUCUACAAACAGAGCGGCAAGGUAAUCCGGAAGGAGAAGGGGACCGCUGCCCCCAAGGCAGCCCCCAGGGCCCACUGGCCCCACCGACCAGCCCUGGCCCCUUUGCUACCAGAUCCCCGCUUUUCAUCUUCGUGAGAAGAUCCUCCCUGCUGUCUCGAUCCUCCAGUGGGUAUUUCUCUUUUGACACAGACAGGAGCCCAGCACCCAUGAGUUGUGACAAAUCAACACAAACCCCAAGUCCUCCUUGCCAAGCCUUCAACCAUUAUCUCAGUGCGAUGGCUUCCAUGAGGCAGUCUCAGGCUGAACCCGCAGAUAUGCGCCCGGAGAUAUGGAUUGCGCAGGAGUUACGGCGUAUUGGAGACGAAUUUAAUGCAUAUUACCCAAGGAGGUUAGAACAAUAGAGGAAGUUGUCGUGUAGUUGUCAUGUGUUCAGUGCGCUUGCGGGCGGUGGGGAAGCGUGUGAGACGGAGCCAUGGAGGCUGAAUCCUUGAAGCAGGAGGUGACAGAGGCCCAGGUCUUUCUGAAUAAUUACCAAGCAGCCGAAGCCCACCCUCAGAUGGUUAUCUUACGACUGUUACGCUACAUCGCCCGUCUGGUGUGGAGGAUGCAGUGACGCUGGGUUCCUCGCGGAGCUGGGACGUGUGCAGACAUUUCGCUUGUUCAGACCAACGAGCCCAGCACUGUGGUGACGAGCCCAGCACCGUGGUGUCUCGGUGCCUCGAGGUGCAGCCCACGGUUCUUUGCCGGAGGGGCAGGCAGCCGGCUGGUGUGUCCCCGGAGGACACUGAGCUGCACGUGGACCUGACCUUGUCUAUUGAUCACCCCCAUGGCAGAAUUUCUAAUGGAGCUUCUGGUGAAUGUAAAUGAGGGAGGAUUUUUUCUUUUUGAAACUGUGUACAAAAUCAUGGUUCUCCAGAGCAGGAUUUGAUGCAAGAAUGAUGUUUUACAUGGGGUGUGGUUUUUUUUUUUUUUUUUUUUUUUUUUCCUUUCCCACCUUCUUUGAUAAGAACAGGUUUUUCAAAAAGGAAAUGGAAAGAAAGGAAAUGGAAAGUUUUUAACCAGCUCAAGUGAUUUUUGUACUAAAAUUUUAAGAACCUUUUGCCUCCUCUCAGAGGAUUAUGUAAAGACUCCAGUGGAAACUGAGCCAGCUAAUUCAUAAAGCUGCCUUAGUUUAUUUUUAGAGGUCACUGUAUAGCAUUUUUAAACGGGAGCAGUGUGGAGGGGCCCACCCUUCCCUGCCGUUGCCUUUGGGCCUUUUUUUUUUUUUUUAAAUCAUUAAUUAUCAAUACCAAAAAAUUCUUCUGAAAUGGAACUGAUGGAAGGGGCCAAAGGUCUCUGGUCAGCCUGUAUUGACCUGCCACUCCCGUUUUGUAAAUAUAUACUUACCUCCUUAAAUUUGCUUGCAUCUGCAGCAAAAUUUCUCUCUCCCUGUGUCUCUCCUCCUCUCUCUUGGUGAUGCUCCUUAAGCCUGUGGUGACACUGAUGCACACGUUUGGUCCAGGGUAUUUUCAUUGUAAGAAGUGAUUGGGUCAGAACACACGUUAGCAUCUGCCUGCAUCUGACACAGCCUGACUUGUGCUGCGUGGCUGGUAGCUUGCUCACUGGGUUGUGCUCUGUGUUGGUUUUCAUUUGGUUUUGACAGCCUUGUCAGUUAGAAUUGCUCUGAAGAGAUCAUCGCGGCCAUAACACAGAAUAUUUUGCCCCCUUUGCUGUUGGUGUUCCCAGAUGCAGGCUUUCCCCAAGUAGCAGGAUGGACUCAGCCCAAGGUCCCAGGUGGUGCACAUGCCCACCUGUGGCCCCAUCCAGCUGCAGGUGUCUGAGGUGGCAGUUGGCACAGGCUGUGGGCGGGGCUUCAGACAGCAGUUUCCUGAGCAUCCUGGCUUUUCGUCCACCUCUGUUCACCUGGCCUUUGAUGGCUAACCCUUGGUUGCCACCCUUCGAAAUAGAGACUCAAUUCUGCUCUCAGCCGUCCCAUAAAAAACCCCAUUGGGCACAAGUCUGAAAUGCUCCCUUGGCCUUCUGACAGCUGUCCAUGUCACUUGCUCCAUUUCCCUCAGGAGAGCUGGGUUUUGUCAGGCCCCUUGAGUCCAUCCCCUGCUUUUGGGGGUGCCCUCCCUCCAGCCUGCCGUAAGGAUGGCAGGGAACGGAAGCCCUUAAGUGGGUUGGUCUCUUCAAAGGCAGUUCGGCUACUGGGGAGACCUGAAAAAGACAGAGUGUGGGAAGAGCGGAAGUGAUCAUUCUGUGAACCCCAGAACUCCUACAGUUUUUGGAACCUCGUUAUCAAACAGCUUUUUAAAAGAAAGACAUGAUUUCCCAAAAUGAGUCAACAGUGCCAAUAACUAUCGUAUUUGCUUUUGGCCCAUCGAGGACCAAUGUUUCCACAUUAUGGGUUGGAAAAAUCCAUCCAUUUUUGUAUCUUCCUAAUUUUAUAUAAAUAUAUAUAUAUAUAUAUAUACAUACAUAUAUAUAUAUAGCAUAUAUACUUGUUCUUUAGGUAGCGAUAUUUGACUCCAAAUAUUCUUCCUUUUUAAAAAUUUUCAUUUCCCCAACUAUCUCCUUGGGGUCUCGAAUUGUUUUAAAUCCGUGUUGAGUCUCAGCUUGUGUCCUCGACAUGUCUUGAACCCCUCUGUAGGAUCCUCAAGUCUACGCGGUUGUGAGGUGGUUGGUAGGAUCACGGCCGUGGGUCUGCUGGACACACACACCAAAGACGUAUUUGGUUCUGGGCUGCACCCCUCCCAGGACCCCCGUACUUUCAUGCCAGUCUCUCUGACUGGAGCACUUUACUCUGUUCCUUUGGCCCCGGGGGCCGGGUGCUCCUGGCCCACGUGCAGGUUUACCUUGGGCUCGGUGGCCUCCAGGCCCCCGGGCUGGCCAUGGAAGCAGCCAGUGAAGAAAGAAGAGAUUCCAUGAAUUAUAGAAGUAUUAAGAGGAUGUUGCCCAGGACUAGGGGAGGUGACUGGAUGUCUCUGUACUGUACAUUUCUGUUUAUCAGGAUGCCUCCCUGGAGAAAGGAUGCCCACGGUGGGUGUACCUUUGACUUCCUAAGUUUGAAUCUUUCUUAGACUUUUUGUAGGAAAAAAAAAAAACAAAAAAAAACAAAAAAAGCCUCCAUCCCUUUUUGGAAACUUAAUGCGGGUUUUGUGCCUUGACCACCUCGUCUCUUGUGAGGUUUGUAGAAAGUGUCCUGUGACUUUUCACAGAAAUGCAAUAAACACACAGAAAAUUAACUUCCUGAGUGAAUUUUCAAAUGACCUGGGCUCCUGCCUAGAAAUGAAUUUUUGAAGGGUUUUUUUUGGGGGGGGGGGUUGUGGAGAACCAGGUAAAAAGAUUCCUUCUGAUUGGAAAGAAACUGUACACAGUGGACUACCACUUUCUCCUGUUUCCCCUUCUUAAUAUUGUAUAUAUUUUGACUAUUUAUUAGAUUAGGAAGUCAUAUUUUACUUAUCAACUGAGCCAAACGUCUGUGUGCAAUUAUUGUUUCCUUUACCUUUCUUGUAAAUUUUUGUACAGCAUAAAGGAGUAAAAAAAAAAAAAAAAAAAAAAAAAAAUCACUUUUUUACUAAACUUUUUCAGAAUUGAGGAUUGUAAAUAUUGUAGAUUCUUUUUCUGUGUAACGCGUCCUACUGUUCCAUAAUGCUGUAACUUGUAGAAAUGUUGUAUAUUUAUUUCUGGCUUAUUUAAUGUCUUACGUUCUAAAAGGUGUUGCUCCCCAUGACCCCUCACCCCUGCUGUCCCAGGAAUGCUUUAACUCUGAGGUGGUGACUGGUCAGCUCACGGCAGGCUCCGUGGUCUCCCCAACGUGGCCCUUCAGCUCUGAUUCCGGGUGUUUCCACUCAAAUGGGUUUCACUUCGUCAGGUUUGCCAUCCCCUCGGUGAGGUGUGUGUGUUUAGACACCUCCCCAGAGACCCUAAAUCCAUCAGGCUCAAAAAUCCACUCUGGAACUCUCCAGCGACUUUCUUUCGUCCCCAGACGAAAGCAAACGCUGCGACGUCCAGGCCACAUCUUAAAAUAACCACCAAAGUGGUAUUGUUGGCCACAGGGAGAGCUUUUUCCAUUGGACAUUUACCCCUGACCACACAGUGUUGAGAGAUAUGAGAAGAUCCUCUCCCAGAGAUGCUGCCGUGAGUUUGCGGAGGGCCAGGGCAGGCUGGGAUGAAGGCCCAGGGGGGACCCAAGGACCCUGCUUCCUGAGUGACUUUAGGACCACCUUGUACCGCUAACCCCUUGUGGGUGAGUCCUUGAGUUUCUCCUGCCCCCUUUGGCUUCCUGUGCUUUGAGAUGCAGACUAAACUGUGUGUCUUUAGGAAUUAAUUGUACACCCCACACCCCCAGCCCUGAACCACUCCGUCCCUCUGCGUUUGAUCCCACCUGCUUCUUCAGGGUGGCGCCUUCCUCUUGCUUUUCCAAAGCCUUUGGGGCGGUGGGACGGGGGCCCGCUGGUCUGGGUGUUAAGAUGUGAAAGCCUUCCUAGCAGUUUUGUGUCCAUAGGUCUGUCCUCCCGGCUGAUUUAGCCUCUUGCCUGUGGGUGGAUGUGUCCACCUGAGUGUGUCGCUAAACCAGCUGGGGUAACUCCUGUCCUGCUCUGAAUGGCGUGGUGUGCAAAAAGCAGCCUCAAACUGCGAGCUCAGUAACUUUGACUACUUUUGUAUGGGAAUUUCAGACUUUCAAUACUCUCAAGUUUUUUUGUCCAGGUUCUGUGACCACUAGUUACUGUAUCAGAACUCGUCAGGUACUCGUUUAUAAAUAGCACUGAUCUGUCUGUAUACUGAUUCAUCACUAACUUGUUUCCUAGGACCCAGCAUAUGUAGCAUUUGUAUUGCAAUUUCCCUGGCUUACUUGUGUUUUGCACUGAUGAAUUUUGACAGGGUAAUUGCCACUUUACUUGUGCAAUACUGCUGUAAAUAACUGCAAAUUUUUUUUUUAAGAAACUCGAUCUUUUAUGUUCUUAAUUUUAUAUAAAUAAAACUUUCAACUAGU